CACUUGGUGUCGUUUGUAACGGACGUUUAAUUUUCAGGCGAAUUUUUCAGAAAAAUAGCAAUGAGUUGCCCUCAACUAAAGUACAUCUUUGCCAUCCUGCUACUUCAUUCUGUGUAUUCAAGUCGAGAAGAACCGAUCGUUAAUGUCCCAUCAUUGGGGCGUCUCCGUGGAUCGCGAAUGUCGUCUGCGUCUGGCCGAAUGAUAGACGCUUUCAGAGCCAUCCCCUACGCCCAGCCACCUGUUGGAGACCUCCGUUUCAAAGAUCCCCUUCCAGCAAAGGAUUGGCAAGGCACCACACUUGACGCCAGCCGAGAAGGACCCAAGUGCAUUCAAUUCAAUUCCAUCGUGCAAGAUGGACUCGUUCUUGGACAAGAGGAUUGUCUUUAUCUCAACGUCUACGUACCUCAAGUGAAUGGGACGAAUGAUCCCCUUCCAGUCAUGGUAUGGAUUCAUGGCGGAGCUUUUUACAUGGGAAGUGGAAACGGCGAAACAGACAUGUUUGGACCAAACUAUCUUCUCGAUCGCGAUGUCGUCUUGGUCACUUUGAAUUAUCGUUUGGGACCCCUCGGUUUUCUCAGCACUGAAGACGCUCAAGCUCCGGGAAAUUACGGACUUCUCGAUCAAUCAUUGGCACUGAGGUGGGUGCGGAAUCACAUUGCCCAUUUUGGUGGAAAUGCAGACCUCAUUACCAUAUUCGGCGAGAGCGCAGGUGGUGCUAGUGUAGAUUUUCACGUCUUGUCACCCUAUUCAAAAGGCCUUUUCCAUCGAGCCAUAAUUCAGUCCGGUACAUCGACAUGCCCAUGGGCGUUGAAUCCGAAGAUUGCGGAAUAUACCAGGAUGCUUGCCAAUCAUCUCAACUGCCCGUCGGAUGCUUCCCGUGAGUUACUGGCCUGUCUGAGGACUAGGAAAGCUGAAGAAAUUGCCGGAAUUAGAAAGCACUUAACCAUCGGACUGGGUUUUGGAAUGUUCCCUUUGGCUUUUGUACCUCGGAUUGACGCCGAAAGGAGUUUGCCUUUCGUUCCAGCCUAUCCAGAGGAACUCAUUGCCGAGAGAAAGUUUAAUCAAGUACCUUUGAUUUUGGGUGUCACUAAAAACGAAGGAGCCCUCGUUAGUGCAUCUUUUUUUGUGAAUGAUGACAAACACAUGGACGAGUUCAAAGCCGAUCCUAUCGGCAUAAUCCGCUACAUGAUCCAAAUGGAAAAUCAUCCGAAUGGUCAGCAAAUGGCUCAAUUGGUGCACGAUCAUUUGUUCACUCUUCAAAAGCCCUACGAAGAUCAAAAACAGCAAAUAGAACUGAUCGCUUCAGAUUAUGGACUUUUCAAAUGCACCGAUGAUUCAGUCGCCUUAUUCAGCGAGUUUAAUAGUCAAUCCACUUAUUACUAUUUCUACACGCACCGGGGUCAAUUUUCGUUUCCCCAGAUGGUCGGAGUUCCACCUGAAAUUGAUCUAGGUGUUUGUCACGCCGAUGAACUUUUUCUGUUGUUCAGCUCCGGAUUGUUGCCGAGGUUGAGCGUUCCAGAAGACUUGAAAGUUUCCGCAACGUUGAUCGAUUUAUGGACAUCGUUCGCUAAAAAUGGAGUUCCUGUGAGUAGCCAUGUAGACGAUGAUUGGCUUCCAGUUGAGCAAGGAGCGAUACGUUACUUGGAUAUUAAAGAGAGACCCACCUUUGUCAAUGGUAAAAUGCCUUUCGAACCGAGGCUUGCGUUUUGGAACAACAUCAAAGCUGCUAAUCGCAUCAUCACCAAGGAUGAAUUGUGAAACCUCUUCAUUUAUUCCAACUGUUUGUGUAUUCACGUUUGUUGCAGGCAUUGCAAGACUUCUGGCAGUUGGCAACCAUGAAUUCCUGAUUGCAUUGGCCCAUGUUUGCAAACUGGACGCAGAUGGGAGUGUUGUCGACGCACCUCGCUGAUGAUCUGUCCGUGCAAAGUCCGCACGUUUUUCUGCAAAAGGCCGUCAUCAAAUCAACACUGUGGUUGCAGAAUCCGUCGCCAGCCCACACGUCGCAUCCUCCCAUGGCAUCGACACAUUCCGGACCUGUAGCGCAUCGACACAUCCCGUCACAGUUGAUGACGACGUGAUCGUCCCUGUCGGUACGCGCUUGUUCGUGGUAGAAACCAGCUGCGUGCAUCAGCUCGUGAAUAAUGAGACCAACGUGAAUGCAGCCUUGAUCCAGCGACACUGUUUGAGCUCCACCCGUUCGGCCGACGUUGCUGUUGCACCUGAACAAUCAUCGAAUCAAAGACGAUGUAGUCUGGCUGGAUUGUCCGAGGAACGAAUCGGAUGCACGUCUUGUUGUGCGAAUCAAUUGAAAAAUGCUGAAUCGAUUUGAAAGCUGUGUUUACUGAAGGGAGCCGCAAUGAUGUAAGGAAUGACAGCAUUCGGCCAGCGAUAAUUACGUCCCACGAUUGCGUUGCGAAGCUCUUGGAUCGACUGAACGCCGGAGAUAUCACCCUCAAAUACAUCGGCUGCGUGACGAGGUGCUGCCCAAUACGGGCUGGUAGUUAAAGAAAAAUGUUACCGAUAGUGAAUGCAUUCUGGAAAUCCUCGGCUGUUAGAUAAAUGCCAUUCUACAACGUAACAGACACAUUCAUUUUAUAUAUUUUUUUAAAUUAACUAGUCAUGAAGAUCUGAAUAACCUGAUUGCUGGGUCCAUGAUCGAGAUGUGAUGGACCGGAAGAGGUGGUUGUUUCUGGAGCAUCAUUGUCCAAUGGUCGGCUCUUAUUGCUGUAGAGGUUCGGAUCGGAAGUGGCCAGACAAGUUGAGAAAUGAAGAUUGAUCAGUUUGAAAGAAAAAUGCUGAAAUGGAACGGAAUACCUGCGAUAAUUGUGGUGGAUGCGUGUCACGACGGAGACGUUGUCUGUUGGAAUCUUUGUCUCGGUCUUAUAUAGCUCUGGGAAUCUGCCCACGAUAGGCAGACAUGUGUCCCCCAAUAAUUUUGUUUUCGACGAAAGAACGGAAUAAACAACAAGUGUUCCAGCAGCCAGUAGCGGCGAAUAUGGAUGAGGCAACGAAAACAACAUUGCGCUGGACAUGGAUUGCCAUAUACAGACAGAUUCAUUAUUAUCGGAAUGAGGGAUGUUGAGAAAGGUUAGUUUUGACAUCGGGCGUGGUAUUAAGAAUAUUGGAAAUGCCGAUUAGUCUUGCUGAUGCACAUCAACAAAAAUUCUUUGUUUAAUGUAAUUUUAUCUAUAAUUCGUAUCUGUAUCUUAAAAGCGUAGUAUUAAGGUUUUUCCAUUUAUCAAAAAUCAUAUGCCGUUUAUUAGUGUAUUAACAAACAAAUCCUUCGUGUAGAUGGAGAAAAGGAACUGUACUUGAGGAUA